GAGACACCCUUCUGGGCUAGACUUGCUUCGAUGGGGCUUUGGUGCUCACUGAGUCUGCCCCCUGAGUGUGUCUUU
rnacentral:pre_miRNA from 1 species